ensembl:lncRNA
CUCCACCAUCUCCUCCUCUGUCUCCUCCUCCUCCAUCUCCUCCUCCUCCAUCUGCUCCUCCUCCUCCAUCUCCUCCUCCAUCUCCUCCUCCAUCUCCUUCUUCUCCAUCUCCUCCUCCUCCUUUUUUAAAAAUCAGCAUUGAGAAUUGCACCCAGGGUCACACUUCUGCUGAGUCCCAUCACCAGCAUUUUAAAAUUAGUCAAUCAACUCAACUUUUGUCAUGUUUUGAGAAGGUCUUGUUAACUUGCCCAGGUGGAACUCCAACUUGUGGUCCUCCUGCAUCAGCCCCUGUCCACAGGCCACCAUGCUUGGCUACGUCACAUCUCGUAUCUCCUGACCCUGGUACUAGAAAUGGUCUCUGAAGGGACAGAGAGCUCUGGUGGCAGUGAAGCCUUCUGUCAUCCUGCCCACCAGGUCAAGCCAGGGCGCCAGACCACCAGUAGACCAUGGCUCCAACAGGCAGCUCAGGCCCUUGGAGGUCGCAAGCAGCCCAACCCUCCUCUGGGGCUACCCAACCAGCACGCCACCCCAGCUGCACUACGGGGGAGAAGGGUGGGUGACUGUUGCUGAGGAUUAAGGCCCUCUCCCCCUUCACCCAUCUUGCCAAGCCAUGACCAAGAGAUCAGGCUCCUGGGCAGUUCACCUCGGGGGGCCAUGUGGGGAUCCCCAACCUCCAUCCAGCCUCUGGUCACCGCUGGCCACCCCUGCCCAGCUGCCUGGCUCUCUCUGCUGUGACAGCGUCCUCAGCCUCAUCCUUGUGCAUAGUGACAACAUCCCUGGGUCCCAUUGUCGUCCGAGGGUCAGGCCAGGGGGAGUGUUGACCUGCACCCCUGGCUGGAUGGGCCCCCCUGGAGGACCGUCACCUUCUAACGAUGCCAUCGCCAGGGUAGGUGCCGCUGGGGACCUACCCCACGUCAUUCUCAGAUGCAAGCCACGCCACGCGCCAAUGCCAAUCCCAGCCAGUGGUCCCGGCCUCCUCAUGUGUGCAGAGCAAGCAGCCGGCUGGGAAAAAGACACCCAAGGGGCUCCCUGGGUUCCUCCAGCCGAGUUACCUAGGAUGUUCUGGUGUCAUCUUGCAAAGAGGAGAGACCGUGUCUUAGAAGCAGAGAAUCACCCUGUGAAAUGGUGGACUAGAGAUUUUGCAGGUGCAAUGAGAGGGCUCUGGGACAUUCUAGUAGCAUAUCCAGCAUUUAGUUCCUUUGGAACGCGAACCUAUGCAUAAGGCACUUUCUCCAGUGCAUCCUGUGUGAGACUCCUCUGGCUACCAGGAAGGACCCCAGACCUCCCUGCCCUGUGCUUGGCUGACAGCAGAAUGAAGGAGGUCUCCAUGUGGAGCUGUAAAGUCCAUGUGAACAUCCGUGCUGCGGUGCCCCCAGCAGCACCCGCCCCUCGUCCUGUUGGUCUGUGCCCUGGUGAGCUUUUUCUACACUCUUCCUCCACACCGCCGCUGUCGUCCCGUUCUGCAGGUGUGAAUUUUGAUGCCUCGGUGUUGUCCUGUCAUCGCUUCCGCCUCCGUGUGUGCAGGGAGGCUGUGAGGAUGGAGCUGAGACAUUACAGCUAUUCCAGACAAUAAAAUAUUUUUGAAACCGC